GAUCUGGCUCAGGAUGAACGCUAGCUACAGGCUUAACACAUGCAAGUCGAGGGGCAGCACGACGAUAGCUUGCUAUUGUUGAUGGCGACCGGCGCACGGGUGAGUAACGCGUAUCCAACCUUCCCGUUGCUAGGGGAUAACCUUGCGAAAGUAAGACUAAUACCCUAUGAAGUUCUUCGCAGGCAUCUAAAGAGAACGAAAGAUUUAUCGGCAACGGAUGGGGAUGCGUCUGAUUAGGUUG
rnacentral:rRNA from 1 species